rnacentral:tRNA from 2 species
GGGCGAGUGGCGGAAUUGGCAGACGCGCAGGCUUCAGGUGCCUGUGAGCUCACGCUCGUGGGGGUUCAAGUCCCCCCUCGCCCA